UGGAGGUAUCAGAAGUGCGAAUGCUGACAUAAGUAACGAUAAAGCGGGUGAAAAGCCCGCUCGCCGGAAGACCAAGGGUUCCUGUCCAACGUUAAUCGGGGCAGGGUGAGUCGACCCCUAAGGCGAGGCCGAAAGGCGUAGUCGAUGGGAAACAGGUUAAUAUUCCUGUACUUGGUGUUACUGCGAAGGGGGGACGGAGAAGGCUAUGUUGGCCGGGCGACGGUUGUCCCGGUUUAAGCGUGUAGGCUGGUUUUCCAGGCAAAUCCGGAAAAUCAAGGCUGAGGCGUGAUGACGAGGCACUACGGUGCUGAAGCAACAAAUGCCCUGCUUCCAGGAAAAGCCUCUAAGCAUCAGGUAACAUCAAAUCGUACCCCAAACCGACACAGGUGGUCAGGUAGAGAAUACCAAGGCGCUUGAGAGAACUCGGGUGAAGGAACUAGGCAAAAUGGUGCCGUAACUUCGGGAGAAGGCACGCUGAUAUGUAGGUGAAGUCCCUCGCGGAUGGAGCUGAAAUCAGUCGAAGAUACCAGCUGGCUGCAACUGUUUAUUAAAAACACAGCACUGUGCAAACACGAAAGUGGACGUAUACGGUGUGACGCCUGCCCGGUGCCGGAAGGUUAAUUGAUGGGGUCAGCGCAAGCGAAGCUCUUGAUCGAAGCCCCGGUAAACGGCGGCCGUAACUAUAACGGUCCUAAGGUAGCGAAAUUCCUUGUCGGGUAAGUUCCGACCUGCACGAAUGGCGUAAUGAUGGCCAGGCUGUCUCCACCCGAGACUCAGUGAAAUUGAACUCGCUGUGAAGAUGCAGUGUACCCGCGGCAAGACGGAAAGACCCCGUGAACCUUUACUAUAGCUUGACACUGAACAUUGAGCCUUGAUGUGUAGGAUAGGUGGGAGGCUUUGAAGUGUGGACGCCAGUCUGCAUGGAGCCGACCUUGAAAUACCACCCUUUAAUGUUUGAUGUUCUAACGUGGACCCGUGAUCCGGGUUGCGGACAGUGUCUGGUGGGUAGUUUGACUGGGGCGGUCUCCUCCUAAAGAGUAACGGAGGAGCACGAAGGUUGGCUAAUCCUGGUCGGACAUCAGGAGGUUAGUGCAAUGGCAUAAGCCAGCUUGACUGCGAGCGUGACGGCGCGAGCAGGUGCGAAAGCAGGUCAUAGUGAUCCGGUGGUUCUGAAUGGAAGGGCCAUCGCUCAACGGAUAAAAGGUACUCCGGGGAUAACAGGCUGAUACCGCCCAAGAGUUCAUAUCGACGGCGGUGUUUGGCACCUCGAUGUCGGCUCAUCACAUCCUGGGGCUGAAGUAGGUCCCAAGGGUAUGGCUGUUCGCCAUUUAAAGUGGUACGCGAGCUGGGUUUAGAACGUCGUGAGACAGUUCGGUCCCUAUCUGCCGUGGGCGCUGGAGAACUGAGGGGGGCUGCUCCUAGUACGAGAGGACCGGAGUGGACGCAUCACUGGUGUUCGGGUUGUCAUGCCAAUGGCACUGCCCGGUAGCUAAAUGCGGAAGAGAUAAGUGCUGAAAGCAUCUAAGCACGAAACUUGCCCCGAGAUGAGUUCUCCCUGACUCCUUGAGAGUCCUGAAGGAACGUUGAAGACGACGACGUUGAUAGGCCGGGUGUGUAAGCGCAGCGAUGCGUUGAGCUAACCGGUACUAAUGAACCGUGAGGCUUAACCUUACAACGCCGAAGGUGUUU
rnacentral:rRNA from 1 species